GGUUGAAUUCCAUGUUCAAAUCGUCGAUGUUCUCCCGGUCGCUGAUGUGCUGCAGGUUGCAGCCCGUGUCCUCACGGCUCAGGUCGGCCUCGGGGCGGUAGGAUUCCAGCCGGGAGUGGGCAUUCCGGCGCAGCUUGGGGCUGGACGAGACGCAGCAGGAGGUGGUGUUCCCCAUCUUCUCGGCCCGGCCCGGCCCGGCGGGGACGAGGCGAGGGACGGCCGCUCAGCGGGGCCGGCGGGCGGCCAUGGGCAGCGGAGCGGACGAGGGGGAGAGGCGGCGGCUGCGGCGCCCUGCGGCUGCGCUCCCCGGAGGGUCCCGGCGUUGGCUCAUCCGCGGCGGCGGCCCCGCGGCGCGGCGGUACGCCGGCGAGGGCUGCGGCAGCUACGAAGCGCGGCGCGGGC
rnacentral:lncRNA from 1 species